ACGCUAGCUAUAGGCUUAACACAUGCAAGUCGAGGGGAAACGGCAUUAUGUGCUUGCACAUUUUGGACGUCGACCGGCGCACGGGUGAGUAUCGCGUAUCCAACCUGCCCUUUACUUGGGGGAUAACCCCGUUGAAAGACGGCCUAAUACCCGAUGUAAUUCAUUGAUGGCAUCAGAUAUGAAUAAAAGAUUUAUCGGUAAAGGAUGGGGAUGCGUCUGAUUAGCUUGUUGGUGAGGUAACGGCUCACCAAGGCGACGAUCAGUAGGGGUUCUGAGAGGAAGGUCCCCCACAUUGGAACUGAGACACGGUCCAAACUCCUACGGGAGGCAGCAGUGAGGAAUAUUGGUCAAUGGGCGCAAGCCUGAACCAGCCAAGUAGCGUGCAGGAAGACGGCCCUAUGGGUUGUAAACUGCUUUUAUACGAGAAUAAUUUGAUGCACGUGUGCGUUAUUGCAUGUAUCGUAUGAAUAAGGACCGGCUAAUUCCGUGCCAGCAGCCGCGGUAAUACGGAAGGUCCAGGCGUUAUCCGGAUUUAUUGGGUUUAAAGGGAGUGUAGGCGGUUUGUUAAGCGUGUUGUGAAAUUUAGGUGCUCAACAUUUAACUUGCAGCGCGAACUGGCGAACUUGAGUGCACACAACGUAUGCGGAAUUCAUGGUGUAGCGGUGAAAUGCUUAGAUAUCAUGAAGAACUCCGAUUGCGAAGGCAGCAUACGGGAGUGUAACUGACGCUUAAGCUCGAAGGUGCGGGUAUCGAACAGGAUUAGAUACCCUGGUAGUCCGCACAGUAAACGAUGGAUGCCCGCUGUUAGCGCCUGGCGUUAGCGGCUAAGCGAAAGCAUUAAGCAUCCCACCUGGGGAGUACGCCGGCAACGGUGAAACUCAAAGGAAUUGACGGGGGCCCGCACAAGCG
rnacentral:rRNA from 1 species